AGGCGCCUGCAGCAUGACAGUUAAGGCUCUCAUGCCCGCGCGCCGGAAUCUGGUCGCGCCGCUGGGUCACAAGCCCACCGACAAGCACACAACGGAAACCGCCGCCUCAGUGCGGGCCGAGUCCGGUGCAGCUUCCGCCCUGAUCGGCGAAAACCUUCGGGGUGUCAGCUUACAUAGCGCGACAGGCAC
rnacentral:sRNA from 16 species